UACGGAGGAUGCGAGCGUUAUCCGGAUUUAUUGGGUUUAAAGGGUGCGUAGGCGGACUGUCAAGUCAGCGGUAAAAUUGAGAGGCUCAACCUCUUCCCGCCGUUGAAACUGGUGGUCUUGAGUGGAUGAGAAGUACGCGGAAUGCGUGGUGUAGCGGUGAAAUGCAUAGAUAUCACGCAGAACUCCGAUUGCGAAGGCAGCAUACCGGCGCCCUACUGACGCUGAGGCACGAAAUCGUGGGUAUCGAACAGG
rnacentral:rRNA from 1 species